AUGCAUCAUUGUCGUCCUCUUUGCACGGCGGCGUGGUGUCUCUCAACACGUGAUGGAUUCACUCACACAGAGGAAGCUUUUCUCCACUACAUCGCCGACAAGCUCACAAGCUUUUGGGUCCAUGGUGCCACCAGUAAACUAGAGACUCCCUGCGCCACCAUGGUUUUAUGUGUACUACCUCCGCAGUGGAAACUUCUGCUACAAUGUAUAUCGACACCAGAGCCAUGUUCCCUAUCAUGGUUGAGAAUGACCGCACCCGCAGGGGUGCGGCAAGCCGCACUUCUUACCUGUACCGUCAACAGAGGAGCGCCGGAGAGAGAACCCAUUGAAUGCAGAAGCCUGAAGGAGUCCAUAAAGUGCAGGCUGGUCAAGAGUGAGGUCCGUGUGUCACAACAUGCAAGGAAAUCAAAUAUGGAGUGUGGGUAA
rnacentral:rRNA from 1 species